rnacentral:rRNA from 1 species
GUGCGCGGCAUAUAUUUACCACUUUUUAUUAUUUUGCACGCGAGAGUAGUACUAGGAUGGGUGACCUCUUGGGAAGUCCUCGUGUUGCAUUCC